rnacentral:rRNA from 1 species
CGGGACACGUGGUAUCCUGUCUGAAUAUGGGGGGACCAUCCUCCAAGGCUAAAUACUCCUGACUGACCGAUAGUGAACCAGUACCGUGAGGGAAAGGCGAAAAGAACCCCGGCGAGGGGAGUGAAAAAGAACCUGAAACCGUGUACGUACAAGCAGUGGGAGCACGCUUCGGCGUGUGACUGCGUACCUUUUGUAUAAUGGGUCAGCGACUUAUAUUCUGUAGCAAGGUUAACCGAAUAGGGGAGCCGAAGGGAAACCGAGUCUUAACUGGGCGUUAAGUUGCAGGGUAUAGACCCGAAACCCGGUGAUCUAGCCAUGGGCAGGUUGAAGGUUGGGUAACACUAACUGGAGGACCGAACCGACUAAUGUUGAAAAAUUAGCGGAUGACUUGUGGCUGGGGGUGAAAGGCCAAUCAAACCGGGAGAUAGCUGGUUCUCCCCGAAAGCUAUUUAGGUAGCGCCUCGUGAAUUCAUCUCCGGGGGUAGAGCACUGUUUCGGCAAGGGGGUCAUCCCGACUUACCAACCCGAUGCAAACUGCGAAUACCGGAGAAUGUUAUCACGGGAGACACACGGCGGGUGCUAACGUCCGUCGUGAAGAGGGAAACAACCCAGACCGCCAGCUAAGGUCCCAAAGUCAUGGUUAAGUGGGAAACGAUGUGGGAAGGCCCAGACAGCCAGGAUGUUGGCUUAGAAGCAGCCAUCAUUUAAAGAAAGCGUAAUAGCUCACUGGUCGAGUCGGCCUGCGCGGAAGAUGUAACGGGGCUAAACCAUGCACCGAAGCUGCGGCAGCGACACUAUGUGUUGUUGGGUAGGGGAGCGUUCUGUAAGCCUGUGAAGGUGUACUGUGAGGUAUGCUGGAGGUAUCAGAAGUGCGAAUGCUGACAUAAGUAACGAUAAAGCGGGUGAAAAGCCCGCUCGCCGGAAGACCAAGGGUUCCUGUCCAACGUUAAUCGGGGCAGGGUGAGUCGACCCCUAAGGCGAGGCCGAAAGGCGUAGUCGAUGGGAAACAGGUUAAUAUUCCUGUACUUGGUGUUACUGCGAAGGGGGGACGGAGAAGGCUAUGUUGGCCGGGCGACGGUUGUCCCGGUUUAAGCGUGUAGGCUGGUUUUCCAGGCAAAUCCGGAAAAUCAAGGCUGAGGCGUGAUGACGAGGCACUACGGUGCUGAAGCAACAAAUGCCCUGCUUCCAGGAAAAGCCUCUAAGCAUCAGGUAACAUCAAAUCGUACCCCAAACCGACACAGGUGGUCAGGUAGAGAAUACCAAGGCGCUUGAGAGAACUCGGGUGAAGGAACUAGGCAAAAUGGUGCCGUAACUUCGGGAGAAGGCACGCUGAUAUGUAGGUGAAGUCCCUCGCGG